UUUUGUUUUCCAGUUUCUUAAACAGAUUUUUGACUUGUUGGCAAAGCUUCUAAAAUGUAAUGAUCGGGAGUACAAGUCCGAGAACAGAUUGCGGCGAAAUUUCUAAGUGUUGCAGAACUUUUUUUGGGCCGCCACCUUACGAGACGAUCAGCCGGAACACUGGCCGGGAUGUGGCACGCGAGGCAUCGUUCCCUACUUCGUUUUGGCCUCGGACAUCGAGCUGUAUCCUUCGCCGGGCCUGCUGCCCAUCUACAAAUCCACGAUAAAGUCACUAGUGCCAGUGGUCUAUGUGUUUCGUGUCUUCGAGGUGGAGUCGGCUGCAAGGGUGCCCAGCAGCAGGCUGUAGCUGCAGAGCAUGCUGUGCCAGUACCCUUCCACGUCACAUUCUGGCUCUAGAAACAGAGUUCAUUAUUCGUUAUAGAUUCUUUCGCGAAUUGCAAAUCAUUUACGGGAGUCGUGAGG
rnacentral:lncRNA from 1 species